UGCAUUGUCUGUCCUUUGCAAAGGGCUUUGUGGACAUCUUUGGUAUUACUGCUGCCUGCUCCCUAUAAAUCAUGCAUGUUUGUUCUGACGAGUGGAUAUUCUGUAGUUAUAAGAAACACAUGUGAAAAUGUCCUGCUGAUACAGUGAUUAGUCACAGAGGGAGGAACAUGGCUCCUUGUUUCUUCAGGUGUUAGUGAUUUCAUAAACACUUUUAGAUGAGGCAGAGAAUCCUUAGCCAAAUUCUCCAGUAUUCUUACUGCAGAGCACAGGCCAGACAAUGCUGGAGAGAGACUGAGGUCAAAAAAAUAUAUAAAUAGGACAUUCUGUGGUAUCCAGGUAUCUCUAAGCAACAACUUGUUGCUCUACUGCCAAAAUAAGUUCUUACUGCAGUUGUACUUGAGAGGACAAUGCAGCUGUGGGAGAACAAAGCGGAUUGCCUUCUCUUUUGUAUAUUGUUAGAAAAUGAUUACUGAGCUGCUGGCUGCAGAAUGACUUUUUAGAGUGAUGAUGCAUCGUAGAAAAGCAUAAAGCUCAGAACAAAAAGAAAGGAUUUUCCAACCUCAGGGUGACCUUAUGGGAUUGACUGCUUAAGAAAAUCCUUUUGCUUUGGAAAUGAAUCAAGUCUGAGCCAGUUUUGUUGAUGGACAACAUAGACUGAAAUGCAUUUUUAAGGGACCAGUCUGUAAUGUAAUAGCAAAUAGUCUUCAUCUGAAAGCUCUGGCCUGGAGUAUUGUGAGUAGAGUGCAUGACAUGAUGCCACGGGACCUUCUUCUUCUGUUAAAUGCAUUAGCCUAGAAUAUUUGGCUCAACAAAUUCGCAUGCAAAUCUGAGGAACGCGACGGAAAGUUUUCAUUUAUCAGUUGCAGGGUAAGAAACUCUUGACCAUCUAUGGCUCAAAUGAGCAGUAAGCAAUGUGCAGUAAGAAGGGGAGCGCCAAGAAGGCCUGUUGGGUCUUGGUGGCCCAACGUGUACCAUAUCACUCCAGGGGUCCCAGCUAUAACAUGAACAGUGAGCAAUGUAGAAAAGGUUCCACCCCAGCCACCACAAGAAAAGCUGCCUGAAGCACCCAGAGUAGACUGUAGCUGGAUGCACCCAUCUUGCUCUGCAUAAGGGUGACUUCCUGACCUGCUGAAACAAUAACAAACGAAAAGGACAUUCCCAGCAACAGCAGUUGCCAGAGAGGACAUCACCUGAAGACAUAAUUCUUGAAAUACAUCUGUCCAUGUCAGAUUCCAUUCAAUCAUCUAAUCAUCUGCAACCUUUUAUGGAAGUGUUUUAUAUUUUCUCUUUUUUUUUUAAUUUUUUUUUAUAAAGCCAUUUUACAAAUGUCAUUAGUGAUUUUUCCAAAUAAAAUAAUACAGAUCUUCUUGCAUAGGGAUUAGUUAUAACAAUGAAUAAUCAGUAUAUUCAUCUCAUGUUGUACAUUUACCUUGAUCUUUUGAAUUAUAAUUCAGAGCACAACCUGCUCUGGUUACUCUGCAUUGCCCUUUGGAGAAAUGUAUUUCUCUCCAUUGAUUAACUAGCUAGAUGCUUAAAGUUAGACCUAAUGUGAGUACUGUUUCUGGAAAGAGUGGAAUUACACUGAUUUAUGCAAAUUUAAGGGGUGGCCAGAUAGCCCUAAUUAGAUCUUAUUGCUAAUAAUGACUUCUACUUUAGUUACAAGGUGUACUUUUGUGUGGCAGUAUCCAUUUAGUUUCAUUAAUAAGGCUACAGGCUUCAUAGUCAGAGUUGUGUCCUUUUUUAUUAACCUUUUCUCUCUCAAGAUAUGCUAUUCCCACAGCCACCACCCUGUUUACUUUUAGGGCAGCGCUGCAGAUACUGACAAGCAUCUUAUCAGUUAUCAGUUAUCAGUUAAUCUGAGUUACCCACCAUGAUGCUCUCAACAAUAUUUCAGCUAGCUCAUAAACUUUAACGGCAGGCCAUCUGGCCCAGUUGCAUUAAAUUGCACUGUCUAAAGUGAAUGUCACUUAAAAAAAUACGUUUAUGUCCAUUUUUCUCCUGCAUAAUUCGAUAUAGAAUGAUUCCAGAAGGCUUACGCUGCAAGAGAUGAAAAUAGAAAAAGUUUAAUCUGGAAGGAAGUGUUUAAAAUUACUCUUCAGGUAGGGCUUCCAUUUCAGAAGUAGAGCACUACCAGACUUUGUAUAUUCAGAUUUUCUGAACUAUGAAAACUUUCCGAUAGCACAGUUGCUUGCUCCAUAAGGGCUCAGUUAUUUGGAUUGACAGAAAAAGUCUAGAAA